AUUGAACGCUGGCGGCAUGCCUUACACAUGCAAGUCGAACGGUAACAGGUCUUCGGAUGCUGACGAGUGGCGAACGGGUGAGUAAUACAUCGGAACGUGCCCGAUCGUGGGGGAUAACGAAGCGAAAGCUUUGCUAAUACCGCAUACGAUCUACGGAUGAAAGCAGGGGACCGCAAGGCCUUGCGCGAACGGAGCGGCCGAUGGCAGAUUAGGUAGUUGGUGGGAUAAAAGCUUACCAAGCCGACGAUCUGUAGCUGGUCUGAGAGGACGACCAGCCACACUGGGACUGAGACACGGCCCAGACUCCUACGGGAGGCAGCAGUGGGGAAUUUUGGACAAUGGGCGAAAGCCUGAUCCAGCCAUGCCGCGUGCAGGAUGAAGGCCUUCGGGUUGUAAACUGCUUUUGUACGGAACGAAAAGACUCUGGUUAAUACCUGGGGUCCAUGACGGUACCGUAAGAAUAAGCACCGGCUAACUACGAG
rnacentral:rRNA from 1 species